GGGCUUGUAACUCAGUGGAUUAAGAGUUCGUGUUUCCGACACACGAGGUCGUGGGUUCGAGUCCCACCAAGCUUA
rnacentral:tRNA from 1 species